AUAGGAGGCCGCCGAGCUAUACUCCAGUCGCGCGCCGGUCGCAAGAGAGAUACAAUCGAGUUGGACGAGGUUCGUAAUACGCGUGUGUUUAUGAAAGGUUAUAGCUGUCCACGGCCGACGCAAGUAUAUGUAUAAAUACAUAUAUAGUGAAGAACGUUGUAAGAGUGGCUUGAGCGAACGGAAGAGUUCGUGCAGAGCAUUGUGUCAGCGUUUUAAAUAAAAAAAAAAGGUGCAUUGUUCCAAUUUGUGAGUUGUGAAAUUCAUCGAGUGACAAGGGUGGCCGUGCGCAGACCUUCCCUGCAAGAAAGAGAGCGAAAAAUAGAACUGGUUCUUGACUUUAUGCUGUGGCUUGUCAAAUUCGACGCCAGCCCACUCCUUGAAUGCUCGGGCAGGAGCGGCCAAUGAUAUUGAGCGCAAGUCGGGGCUGCGUAAUCUAGCCAAAGAAGAGUCUCAAACAUCGAGGAUCGAGUGGCAGCGACAGCCGCAAAUCUCGGAUCAUCACGGGAGAGCGGCUGGAAUAUUUUUUUGUUGUAAAACUCAUUACAACUGAGCAGUUGAGAAGGCGACAGCGACGACGACCACGACAACGUUGGCAAAAUGACGACCGACAUCUCGGUGCAACGCACCGGCUGGGAUUCGACUCUUCAGCAGGAGAUCGUCGACGAGUACGAGUACGAUGGAGGAAAUUCCAGCUCUAGACUAUUCGAACGAUCGCGUAUCAAAGCUCUAGCUGGUGAGCGUGAACUCGUGCAAAAGAAAACCUUUCAGAAAUGGGUGAACUCUCACUUGGUCCGUUGCUCGUCCCGCAUCGGCGAUUUGUACGUCGAUUUGCGCGAUGGCAAAAUGCUCAUCAAACUUCUGGAAAUUCUAUCGGGCGAGCGUCUUCCCCGUCCAACCAAAGGCAAAAUGCGAAUUCACUGCCUGGAAAAUGUCGACAAAGCACUGCAAUUUCUUCGGGAACAGCGUGUUCAUCUGGAAAACAUGGGCUCUCACGACAUCGUCGACGGUAAUCCACGUCUCACGCUUGGUCUCAUCUGGACGAUCAUCUUGCGCUUCCAGAUUCAAGACAUCACCAUCGAAGAAACUGACAAUCAGGAAACCAAGAGCGCCAAAGACGCUCUGCUUCUCUGGUGCCAGAUGAAAACUGCUGGAUAUCACAACGUCAAUGUGAGAAACUUCACGACCAGUUGGAGGGAUGGCUUGGCUUUCAAUGCUAUCAUCCAUAAACAUAGACCAGACUUGAUUCAGUUUGAAAGACUGUCCAAGUCCAAUGCCAUUUACAAUUUGAAUAAUGCCUUCAAUGUGGCCGAAGACAAAUUGGGCCUCACUAAAUUGCUCGAUGCCGAGGACAUCUUCGUCGACCAUCCCGAUGAAAAAUCCAUCAUUACCUACGUCGUCACCUAUUAUCAUUAUUUCUCUAAGAUGAAACAAGAGACCGUCCAAGGCAAAAGAAUCGGCAAAGUCGUCGGAAUAGCUAUGGAAAACGAUCGUAUGAUCAGAGAAUACGAGUCAUUGACUUCCGAUCUUCUGAAAUGGAUCGAAUCGACCAUCACUGCUUUAGGCGAUCGUCAGUUUGCCAAUUCUCUAAUGGGUGUUCAGGCGCAGUUGUCCCAAUUUUCAAAUUACAGAACGGUUGAAAAACCUCCUAAAUUUAUUGAAAAAGGAAAUUUGGAGGUUCUUUUGUUUACUCUUCAAUCAAAAAUGAGAGCUAACAACCAGAAACCUUACACUCCAAAGGAAGGCAAAAUGAUCAGCGACAUAAACAAGGCUUGGGAGCGACUGGAGAAGGCCGAACACGAACGAGAACUAGCUCUCAGAGAGGAGCUAAUCAGACAAGAGAAACUGGAUCAAUUGGCUGCAAGAUUUAACAGGAAAGCUAGCAUGAGAGAGACUUGGUUGUCCGAAAAUCAACGUCUUGUUUCACAGGACAAUUUCGGCGCUGAUUUGGCAGCUGUAGAAGCUGCUGCUAAAAAACAUGAAGCUAUUGAAACCGACAUCUUUGCUUAUGAAGAGCGCGUUCAAGCUGUCAUGUCAGUAUCGCAAGAGCUUGAAGCAGAAAACUACCAUGAAAUCGAGCGGAUCAACGCCCGAAAAGAUAAUGUUCUUCGCUUGUGGCACUACCUGCUCGAACUCUUACGAGCUCGUCGCUCUCGUCUCGAGGCAUCUCUUCAAAUACAGCAAAACUUCCAGGAAAUGCUUUACAUUCUUGAUAGCAUGGAAGAGAUCAAACUGAGAUUGCUCACCGAUGAUUAUGGCAAACAUCUAAUGGGCGUUGAAGAUUUGCUGCAAAAACACUCGCUUGUUGAGGCCGACAUAAAUGUUCUCGGGGAAAGAGUCAAAGCAGUCGUAGCACAAAGUCAGAGAUUCCUUGAUCAAGAGGAAGGCUACCGCCCGUGUGACCCAUCUACUAUUGUUGAACGUGUUCAGCAACUAGAGGAUGCUUAUGCCGAGCUGGUCCGUCUCGCCGUCGAACGUCGCGCACGUUUGGAAGAAUCUCGAAAAUUGUGGCAAUUCUACUGGGACAUGGCUGAUGAAGAGAACUGGAUUAAAGAAAAGGAACAAAUUGUAUCUACUGGAGAUAUUGGUCACGAUCUUACCACAAUCAAUUUAUUGCUUUCCAAACAUAAAGCACUGGAGAGCGAAAUUCAGUCUCACGACCCACAACUGAUGGCCGUUGCUGCUAUUGGCGAUGAACUUGUACGCCAGCAACACUUUGGAUCGGACAAAAUUGAUGAGCGUGUACAUGAUAUUCUCCAAAUGUGGAACCAUUUGCUAGACUUAUCAGCAUUUAGGAGGAAACGCCUCGAAGGAGCAGUUCAUUAUCAUCAAUUAUUUGCUGAUGCCGAUGAUAUUGAUGCUUGGAUGCUCGAUACUAAAAAACUUGUUACUACUGAAGAUGUCGGUAGAGAUGAAGCUAAUGUACAAUCACUCCUCAAGAAACACAAGGAUGUUUCCGAUGAGAUAAAGAGUUAUUCAUCAGCUCUUGAGCAAUUGCACCAACAAUUAGAACUUCUGGCUGAACAAGAUGCUCAAUCACCUCAAGUGGUUGAUCGUUUAGCUAAAGUUGACGCUGAUUACAAAGAACUCGAUGAACUGGCUAAGCAUCGUCGACAACAGUUACUGGAUGCUUUAUCUCUCUUCAAACUCUUUAGCGAAGCUGAUGGUGUGGAGCAAUGGAUCAAUGAAAAGAAUCGAAUGCUUGACACCAUGGUUCCUGCUAAGGACAUUGAAGAUGUAGAAAUCAUGAAACACCGAUAUGAUGGAUUUGAGAAAGAAAUGAAUGCCAAUGCUUCACGGGUCGCCGUUGUUAACCAAUUGGCCCGACAAUUAUUACACGUAGAACAUCCGAAUUCACCUCAAAUCGUACAGAGGCAAAAUGAACUCAAUCAGAAGUGGGCUGAGUUGCGUGACAAAGCAGAGUCCAAACGAGAAGCGCUCAAUUCUGCUCAUGGAGUACAGACUUUCCACAUUGAAUGCAGAGAAACUGUUAGUUGGAUCGAAGAUAAGAAGCGCAUAAUCCAAGAGACCGAUGGAUUGGAGAUGGAUCUAACUGGUGUUAUGACUUUACAACGUCGUUUGAGCAGUAUGGAAAGAGAUCUUGCGGCGAUUUCAGCCAAACUUGACUCUUUAGAGAAAGAGGCCAAGCUUAUCGAAGGAGAUCACCCAGAAGAAGCUGAAAUCAUCCGAGAGAGAAUUUCUCAAAUCCAUACUAUCUGGGAGCAGCUUAAGCAGUUGCUGAAAGAGCGCGAUAGUAAAUUGGAAGAUGCUGGAGAUUUACAUCGAUUCUUGCGUGAUCUUGAUCACUUCCAGGCCUGGCUUACCAAAACGCAGAAAGAAGUGGCCAGUGAAGACGAACCCACAAGUUUGGCUGACGCUGAAAAACUUCUCACUCAGCAUCAAAACAUCAAAGAAGAAAUUGACAACUAUACUGAAGAUUAUAGCAGUAUGAUGGUUUAUGGAGAAAAAUUAACAUCUGAAGCUCCUGAUAAGGAUACUCAGUACAUGUUCUUACGCGAGCGUCUUAACGCUCUCAAAGAGGGUUGGGAAGAAUUACACCAAAUGUGGGCUAACCGACAAAAUCUCCUGUCCAAUUCACUCAACUAUCAAGUCUUUGAUCGCGAUGCCCGCCAAGCUGAAGUUCUACUGUCACAGCAAGAACACGUACUUUCUAAGGACGAUAGCCCAUCGAACUUUGAACAAGCCGAAAACAUGAUCAAACGCCAUGAAGCCUUCAUGACUACCAUGGAUGCUAACGAUGAGAAGAUCAAUGCCGUCGUGCAAUUUGCCGCACGUUUAGUCGAUGAUGGACACUUUGCCGCUGAUAAAGUUAAACGAAAAGCAGAGUCUAUCAACGAGCGUCGCAACACCAAUCGGGACAAAGCUCAACAAAUGAUGGAUCGUCUGCGCGAUCAGCUACAGCUGCAGAUGUUCUUGCAAGACUGUGAAGAACUUGGAGAAUGGAUUCAAGAGAAGCACAUCACUGCUCAAGAUGAAUCCUAUCGAAGCGCUAAGACAGUACACAGUAAAUGGACAAGGCAUCAAGCAUUUGAAGCUGAAAUUGCAAGUAAUAAGGAUAGGCUGCAACAAUUGCAAAUUGCUGCUGAUGAGCUCAUCAAUCAAAAGCCUGAGCUAACAGAGAUAAUCCAGCCAAAGGUUGCUGAACUCGAUGGUUCAUUUAAUGAAUUAGAAACGACCACCAAAGACAAAGGUGAAAGACUAUUCGAUGCUAAUCGCGAGGUUCUCAUUCACCAAACUUGUGAUGACAUUGAUUCCUGGAUGAAUGAUCUUGAAAAACAGAUCGAGAGUACCGAUACUGGUUCAGAUUUAGCAUCAGUCAACAUACUAAUGCAAAAGCAGCAGAUGAUCGAAACCCAAAUGGCAGUGAAAGCCCGUCAAGUUACUGAGCUCGAUAAACAGGCUGAACAUCUUCAACGCAUUGUGCCGGACGAAAAAAUGGAAGAGAUUAAAUUUAAAAAAGAAAAAGUUGCCCAAAGAUUUGCUCAACUCAAAGAACCACUUAUCGAACGACAGAAACAAUUGGAAAAGAACAAAGAAGCCUUCCAGUUCAGACGCGACGUUGAAGAUGAAAAAUUGUGGAUUGCUGAGAAAAUGCCACAAGCUACCAGUUCCGAAUAUGGUACCUCUCUCUUUAAUGUUCAUACGUUGAAGAAGAAGAAUCAAUCUUUGAGAACCGAAAUCGACAACCAUGAACCAAGAAUAAAUCUAGUCUGCAGCAACGGUCAGAAACUCAUCGAUGAAGGUCAUGAAGCUAGCGAUGAGUUCCGUAGACUGAUUCCUGAAUUGAACGAGAAAUGGCAACAACUAAAGGACGCCCUAGACGAGCGAAAUGCACAUCUUGCUCAGAAUGAAAAAGCCCAGCAAUACUUCUUCGACGCUACCGAGGCUGAAUCCUGGAUGUCGGAACAAGAAUUGUACAUGAUGGUCGAAGAUCGUGGCAAAGACGAAAUAUCUGCUCAGAAUUUGAUGAAGAAACAUGAGAGCCUAGAGCACGCCGUUGAAGAUUAUGCUGAGACUAUCAGACAGCUGGGAGAAACAAGCAGGCAAUUGAUUGGUGAUCAGCAUCCAUUGGCCGAUCAAAUCGCAGUUAAACAGUCACAGGUUGAUAAAUUGUACGCUGGAUUGAAAGACUUAGCUGGAGAGCGUCGCGCCAAACUAGAUGAAGCUUUGCAACUAUUUAUGUUGAAUCGCGAGGUAGAUGAUCUUGAGCAAUGGAUAUCCGAACGCGAAAUGGUCGCUGGCAGUCACGAGCUAGGUCAAGACUACGAUCAUGUCACGUUGCUUUGGGAACGAUUCCGUGAAUUUGCUAAAGACACGGAGGCAAUUGGUUCUGAGCGUGUCAGCGCUGUCAACGGUAUCGCAGACUCACUCAUCGCCGCUGAACAUUCUGACGCUGCUACUAUUGCCGAAUGGAAAGAUGGUUUGAACGAGGUCUGGCAAGAUUUGCUCGAACUCAUCGAGACUCGCACACAAAUGUUGGCGGCAAGUCGCGAACUACAUAAAUUCUUCCACGAUUGCAAAGACGUUCUUGGACGUAUUCUUGAAAAGCAGAACUCUAUGUCAGAUGAAUUAGGCCGUGAUGCUGGUUCGGUUUCUGCGUUGCAGCGCAAGCAUGGCAAUUUCAUUCAAGAUUUGUCAACCUUGCAAACACAAGUAUCACAGAUUCAGGAAGAAUCGGCCAAACUACAAGCAAGUUAUGCUGGCGACAAAGCUCGUGAGAUUACAAAUCGCGAAUCCGAAGUUGUUGCCGCUUGGAACAACUUGCAGUCAUUGUGUCAAACACGAAGAAACAAAUUAGACGACACAGGCGACUUGUUCAGAUUCUUCAAUAUGGUGCGAAAUUUGAUGAUUUGGAUGGAUGAUGUAGUUCGUCAAAUGAAUACCAGUGAAAAACCACGUGACGUCAGUGGUGUCGAACUCCUGAUGAAUAACCAUCAAAGUCUCAAAGCCGAAAUCGACACACGAGAAGAUAAUCUUUUGAGUUGCAUCAGUCUUGGAAAGGAUUUACUGGCUCGUAAUCAUUAUGCUAGUGAUCAAAUUAAGGAAAAACUUAAUAUUCUCACUGAGCAUAGGAAUGCACUGCUUCACCGCUGGGAAGAACGUUGGGAAAAUCUCCAACUCAUUUUGGAAGUAUAUCAAUUUGCCAGAGAUGCUGCCGUUGCUGAAGCCUGGUUGAUUGCUCAAGAACCCUAUCUAAUGAGCCAAGAACUUGGAUGUUCCAUUGAUGAAGUUGAAAACCUCAUUAAAAAACACGAGGCAUUUGAAAAGUCAGCUGCAGCUCAAGAAGAAAGAUUCAGUGCCUUGCAACGUCUCACUACAUUUGAACUUAGAGAAUUGAAACGCCGAGAACAAGAAAGAGAAGAAGAAGAAAAACGCAAACAAGAAGAAGCAGCAGCUGCGGAAGCUGCUAAACUCGCUGCUAAAACAACAACCGUCUCUAGUCCUACUGGCGAGCUUGUUGGUGAAAGAUCGGAGGCCGACGGUGCGAAAGCCGAUGACGAUCGCGCAGCACUGCAAAAGACUUCAGCGCGAGCAUCGCUAGCUCAAGCACAAGAAAAGUCCAAGGAAGGAGUAGUUGUACAGGCUCCGAAAAUUGAGAGCCGUAAGAUCGCAGCUGAGGUUUCCAUUUCUCAAUUGCCGACUACGUCUCCACAAAAAAUUCCAUCGGCUAUUCCUUCAACAUCGAGAGGAGGUUCAGAUUCUGGUACAAUAAGACGAAAGCAUCGCAGCCGUAGUAAGUCGCCCUUCAGAAGCUUCCGAUGGCCAAAAAAGACGACUGUCGUUAAAUCGCCGAGUUUGGACCGUAGCAACGCCAGUGACGACGAGUAUGAGGCCCGUAGCCCAACAGACGACGAAUUCGAAGGUGUCCUGGUACGCAAGCACGAAUGGGAAAGCACAACUAAAAGAGCAACGAACCGCUCAUGGGAUAAGGUAUACAUGGUCGUCCGAGGUCAGAGUUUGAAUGCUUACAAGGACCAGAAAACGAGCAGAAAUUCACCCGAACAGUUGUACAAAAACGAAUCGCCCCUUGACCUCAAGGGUUCGACUAUCGUAGUAGCUAGUGAUUAUACCAAGAAAAAACAUGUCUUCCGUGUCAAGACGCAGAGCGGAUCGGACUUCUUAUUCCAGGCCAAAGAUGACGCUGAAAUGAACGAAUGGGUAUCGGUACUGAAUCAAGCAGCUCAAGGUGCCUCAGUUUCCGGAUCGUCACGAGCGCACACACUUCCCGCGCCAACUCAAGCUGAAACUAAAAGACGCAGCUUCUUCACUCUUAAGAAAAAAAAGACAAAAGUAUCAAUGAAAAUGCCACGUCGCUUCAUAAGUUUGGGACAACUUGUUUAAAACUGCUAAAAAAUAAAGGCUUAUUUUUACAACAUUUUGCUACUAUACUGAGAUGUCGCUUCCGUUCAAUGAUUUGCUACUAAUUUGAUGUCUCGAAAAAAAUGGAGAAUUUUUUUUCAGUUCCAUUAUUUUGAAGAAAUUUUAAUAAUAAAAAACCUGAAACUCAAAUUUAAAAACGCAUUAAGCAACGAGUUGAUCUGAAUCACAAGAAUUAUUUAAAAUAAAAUAAUGUAACGUACAGUUGUUACGAAUUCUCGAAAUUAAUGGCCGCGUAAAAAUAAUCUUAAGAUACUAAGGUGAAACUUUGAAAUUCAAUGCAAACAAAGAAGGAAGGUCGACCACAUUCGGUAUGCGUCAAGUAACGCAUAAAACAGAAAUUUACAGUCUCAAGAUAUACACCUCCACAAUGCUUAAAAAAUCGUACAGUAACAAAAAUUUAACACUCGCACUUGGUCACUUUAAAAUAAAAGUGCUCAAAAUUCGUUAAUGCAAUGGUUAAAACCCCAUUUAGCCAAGCUAAAUUAUUACCAAACUAACGAUAAAAAAAUUAUCCGGCCCAGAAAUUAUUCUGGUGUAGCAUUGAAUACGCGCACGAUUAUUAUCGAUAUGAAAAAUAAAUUUAAAAAAAUAAAUGAACAAGCCACGGGGUGGUGCACACUAUUGUAAUAGAAAGAUCGAAUAUCUAAUAAUAGCAAAAAUGUAAUGUUUAAGCUAUAAAAAUUUAAUAACCAAUUAAUCCCAAGUUAGUGCGAUCGAUUUUUCUACUUGCAUAUGAGGACGAAAGAUUUGAUAAAAAAAUUAAAUAAUCUUCGUAUCUUACUAAUAAAAUAUUAAAAACUAUCAAUACAAAACCUUCAUCAUCAACUUGCAUACAUUUUCUAUGCAUAAACUUGCACAUUCGAGCGUAUGUGAAUUUCAAUAACUAUUGACGAGAAUGAAAAUUCUCUGGCCAUGCAUGGUAAAUUAAGCACCAAAAGUACCGCAACUUUGUAGAUUAUAUUAAUCUAUAUAAGAACUAUCAGUUCAUGUUUUUUUAAAUCACAUAAUUUUUUCUUGUUUAGAAUAUUAUGUAUGUUAUUUCGUAAGUACUGCUAUGAAAAACGUAGUUUUACAUUGUAACUUUGAUUUUUUGUGUAAACUUGAUACCAGUUACGAAAAGAUAAAUUUACUUUUUCGGUGCAGUAAAUAAUAAUUUUGAAACCGAUUUUUUGUAUUUUUUAAUAUCAAAAGAGAUGUGUGAAUCCAGAAAAUGUACUGUUCAAUUUUUAUACUAAUUUGUAAUGCGAAAUCAUAUUAGAAAAUCUAUUAUGUACAAACUUCAGCUUUUGCAAACUUUUCUAAGUUACUCAUAUUUUAUACUUCCAAAAUAAUCAUAACUAAUUAAAAUUUUGAAUAAAAGAUGUACGAAAGAA